rnacentral:rRNA from 1 species
AUGUGUAUGAUCACCUGGAAGUGGUCGCAAGAGUUACCAGCAGAGGCGCCCUCGCGGCGGCCGGUGGCGGAAUGCAGUGGUGCUACGCGGUGCGCUGUUGUCGGUGACACCAUGCCUUCUCCCUGCCGGACGACUGUUGGUCUGCACCGCAGAAGGAAGAGUGGAAGGCUUGCGAUGGAGAAUGACGAGGAGGGGUGCGCCCCCCCUCCCCCAACCGCCAAUGUCGCAGACUUUGAGGUUGCUGCCCGCGGGGAAAACAGCAUGUCCGCCGCCCGUGGGGGCAACCGCAUGCCCAAGAUCCCCGACGCAGCGGAUGAGAUCGAGGUCCUUUGCGCAGCGAAGGGCAACUUGGAGGAGCGGCAGCUGCAGACCACGCAUCUCCUGCACAUGCCGACGCGCUAG